GAGGAGAUCACCCAGCUCGUCAUGCUAAAGAACUUUUUCAAUGGGCUCCCCAACGACAACGCGAUGACGCAUUCGGAUGUCAUCCAUAUCAACGUUCAGUGCCACUUUCUGCACCUACCAUGGUGACCACAGGUAACGGGGAAUCAGGGUUGAUUCCGGAGAGGGAGCCUGAGAAACGGCUACCACAUGCAAGGAAGGCAGCAGGUGCGCAAAUGACCCACUCCCGACGCGGGAUGGUACUGAC